rnacentral:lncRNA from 7 species
GAUGGCGUGCAAGAGCAAAUGCUCCAGAAGGGAAAGUGGUUUUACAGAGAGGGAUUACAUGGGCUCUACACUGACUGAACAGUCCUGCACUGCUCUUCGAUUGUUUAACUGUUGUCACAGAACUAAAGUUGAUACAGGCCUCCUCCCCAUCUCAUGUGUGGAAGAGGAGCUGCAGUCCCCAUGGGCUCCCUGCAUGGCUCAUGAAUUUCCCAGAUGAUUCUCCAGAGCGGAAACAAACUCCAUGGGUGUGUUGGAGUCCUGCAGGCCUCCUGCUCCUGUCUGGCUUCACGGACUGGGCUCUUGCUGUAAGAUUUUGCAUCUCUCGUUGUACCUCCUGCUUUGUCUUUAUUGCAAAGGAGCAUGGCAGAAAAGAGCCUGUGCAGCUCUACAAAUGAGGACAAAUAAUAAACAGAAAUAGAAGCUC